CUGUUGUAUGAAAGGAAAGAAGGCUUAACAUUCCUCUGCACAAAGAUGAAAGAGGCCCUUGGGCCCAAGAACAUGCAUAGUUAAGGCAUUGUCACCUACUUCGUGACAUCUAACCAUGGUUGAAU